ACUUGGGGGAAUGAAAAUGAAAAAGUUCUAAAAGAAUCUAAAUUGAAACAAUUAAAACUUUUAAAUAUAAUUCUAGGUAGAAUAUUGAUGAUGACAAUUUUCUAUCUAUAUGUCUUGACCAAAUCUUGUGCCAGCAGUCGCGGCAACACAAGGAAGACAAGUGUUAUUCAUCUUUAAUCGGUUUAAAGGGUACCUAGACGGUAAAUUAGGCCCUAACAGGGAACGUUUUUACUAGAGUUAUAAAUAGGAGAGGAAUAUGUCAGAAUUACCAGAGUAGAGAUGAAAUUCUUUGAUACUGUUAAGACUGGUAACGGCAAAAGCAAACCUUUAUAUAUUAACUGACGUUGAGGGACGAAGGCUUGGGGAGCAAACAGGAUUAGAUACCCUAAUAGUCCAGGCAGAGAAUUAUGA
rnacentral:rRNA from 1 species